UUAAUUCUAAGUUCAAGAAAACUUCUUUACUAUUCCAUACAUGCUAAAAACUAUUUCUUUAAGUAAUAAAAUCAUGACAUUUAUAAAUUAUAAAUAUAGAAAUCAACUUUAUUUGAUACAUGAAAAUGGGGAGAAAUAUGGCUGAUAUUGUCAAGUUUAUUUAUGUUAUUAUUAUCUUUCUUUCCAUAUUUUUCUUUGCAACGAACCUUGAAGCGGGUCCUAUAUGUCUUGAAGAUUUUGAUUGCCCAAAAAGUAUGUGCUGGCCUAGUUUUAAACCGAGGUGUUCUAACGGAUGGUGUGUAUGUGAUAAAAUUAUGCCAUAGAUUCUAUGAGUUCCAAACCCAAGAAGGUACACAAGUGCUCUAUUGAAUAAUCAACGAGUUGUGUCAUUAAGCAAUUGUUUUACGACCCUAUUUUUUUUGUUUUCUAGUUUUACGAGCCUUUUAGUUAUUGUUUUGUAUACUAAGAUUACGAUAUUGAUAUGAAACAAGGAAGCAAAUAAUAUUAACCUGAUUGUAUUCAUCUCUCUAAAUUUUUAAGAUAUCUUAAUGGCCUGUAAUUUUUA